rnacentral:lncRNA from 1 species
AUGAAUCUUUCUUUUCUAACAUGGAUUGUUUUUAGUUUGUUGUUUGUAAAAGUUUUUGACUAUGUUUGGAUAAACAAUUUAAUGAAGUGUUUAUCACAUGAGUGCUUAUGCAUAAGCUAUUCCUAUAACGAAAGAUAAAAUAAAAUAAAAUUGUUUUCAUAUUUACCAUAGUUUGUUUUCAGAAAUUAUCAUGAAAAGUUUAUGAAAAUAAGUUGAAAACAACGGAUGAAAAUAUAAAUUAUUUUCAUAAGUUCUAUCAAUUAGUCUCACAAAUGCUUAUACUAUUAGAUGAGCUCAAAUAAGUUAAUCCAAAUAGACAUUUGGUGUGAUGUGAUAAUUAGUAUAACGACUAUUUUUCCUUGCAUUGGUUUCCCUAGCCUUGGGUACCUAUCUUUGACUAUGGAGGUCAUUUCAUUAAUUAUAAUUUUUUGCUUAUGCUCAUAAAAUGUUUUCUCUAUUCAGCUAAAAAAUGCAGG